CCUAUGGGAGGCAGCAGUGAGGAAUAUUGGUCAAUGGACGAGAGUCUGAACCAGCCAAGCAGCGUGAAGGAUGACUGCCCUAUGGGUCGCAGACUUCUUUUAUAAGGGAAUAAAACGAGGCACGUGUGCCUUUUUGCAUGUACUUUAUGAAUAAGGAUCGGCUAACUCCGUGCCAGCAGCCGCGGUAAUACGGAGGAUCCGAGCGUUAUCCGGAUUUAUUGGGUUUAAAGGGAGCGUAGAUGGGUUGUUAAGUCAGUUGUGAAAGUUUGCGGCUCAACCGUAAAAGUGCAAUUGGUACUGGCAGUCUUGAGUGCGGUGGAGGUAAGCGGAAUGCGUGGUGUAGCGGUGAAAUGCUUAGAUAUCACGAAGAACCCCGAUUGCGAAGGCAGCUUACUAAACUGUGACUGACAUUGAUGCUCGAAAGUGUGGGUAUCAAACAGGAUUAGAUACCCCAGUAGUC
rnacentral:rRNA from 1 species